AGUUCGAGGCCAGCCUGGUCUACAAAGUGAGUUCCAGGACAGCCAGGGCUACACAGAGAAACCUUGUCUCAAAAAACCAAAAAACAAAAAACCAAAAAACAAGCGAUUUGGAGUCUUCCUCUGGACAGCUGCCACCAGGGGCUCUGAAGAGAAAACCUCUUGGAGGGGUUGCUGGCAGCCUGGCAGGAUGGUAAUGGGCUGAUGUGAUGGCACAUUUGUCUGCUCUUCUGCUGAUGGAUUCCUCCCCGGGCUCGGACACAUUCUAUGGCUCAUCUCCAGAAGGACCACAGGUGUACAGAGGUCAGAGGACAAUUUGCAGCAGUCAAUUCCUUCUGGAACCACUCAGGUGGUCAGGCAUUGUGACUGGCGCCUUUUCCUGAGCCCUCUCACUACCCCCUUACCUUUCAUCCUGUAGAGUCAACUCAUUCAUUAGCUGUUCCGUGCAGCAGUCU
ensembl:processed_transcript 5330411J11Rik RIKEN cDNA 5330411J11 gene